CGGACGGGACGGGUGAAGUAACGCGGUACGGGACCGCCCUAUACAGGGGGAUAACAGUUAGAAAUGACUGCUAAUACCGCAUAAGCGCACGGAGCCGCAUGGCGCUGAGUGAAAAACGAUAGUGGUAUAGGAGGGACCCGCGUCUGAUUAGGUAGUUGGUGAGGUAACGGCCCACCAAGCCGACGAUCAGUAGCCGGCCUGAGAGGGUGAACGGCCACAUUGGGACUGAGACACGGCCCAAACUCCUACGGAAGGCAGCAG
rnacentral:rRNA from 1 species